GCGCGUGGCGAGGCCUUGGUGUCGAGGGGCCGCGGGGAGGCCGGGGCUCUCGAGGGCAGGGCUUUCCCUGUCUUCGGACGCCGGCAGCCGGCUUCCGGACAAGCGCCGCCGAGUGGCGGCGGGGCGCCUCCGCCUGUUCGGGCCUCUUCGCUGCCGUGGGUGGAGGGCCCACCUCGGGAUGGCCCAGUGGAGAAGGGAGCUUCCGAGUGGGGCGUCACCUGUGGGGCUGUUUGGGGGUGCGUGGCAGCCGUGAGUGGUGGCUUGUUGACCUCUGCGGGCCCAGGAAGGCAGGUGACCCGGUCUAGACCGCGGUGCGCCCGGCAAAGCCGGAAGAACUGGAUAUGCUCGCAUAAAUCAGGUCCUAACCGCAGGGUUGGUCUCAGUCACUCUAGCUCCUAGAAUCGCCCAUCCCUGAGGAAUGAGGCGAUUUUUCUAGGACUGGAAGCCGAAGGAAUGUGUUUUUUUCAGCGUUUAGCAGGCACUUAUAUGUUGCCAGUGUUCAGAAUCUCCACUGCCCAUUCAUUUAUAGAAUGGAUGGCACUGCCUGGCCGGUUUGCUCUAACGUUUGAAUGAAAUCAGGUGCGUAAAGCUUCCUGCACACAGUAGGUCUUAGUUUUAGCUCUUGUCUACCGCGCCCAGGAACGCUGUGUCCUACGAUUCUGUACUGUUAAAAGACUUUGGAGAGCUCAUCCCAAAGAAGCAGUGUUAACAAGAGAGUUGUUUGUUUUGUUUUAAUUAUCCCAUGGAACAGUUAAUUUAAAACGUUGUAAAUAAGAUGAAAGAGCAUUUAUCAAUGAAGUCUAACACCGUUCAGAUUUAUCUUUACCUUAAGGAUGCACAGUUAACGACACUUAAAACCUGGAAUUUUGUUGUCUUCCAUAUAUUAAGGAGGUCUUGGAAAGAUCAGGCCUAAGAGGAAGAGGAUGACUGUUUCUUGAAUUAGUGAAAUUCACACAACCUGAACCAACAGUCCAAAUGAGAUAAGAGUAGGAGCUACGAGCUGCUAGGGUGUGCAAUUCACUUAGGUACAGGAGGGGCGUUUUCUCCCGAGCUCCAGUUGGCCAUAGUAGACGCUAGCCGCCUUAAGUGUGGGUAGGCCGUAUUGAGUCUGCUCUAAGUGUAAAAUGCACUCUGGGUUUCUAAGAUAAAGUAUGAGGAGAAAAUAGUGUAAAAGAUCUCAUUUUGUUUUGGUUGUAUUGGUUGUACAUGUUGACAUGACAAUAAUGAAAAAUUUAAAUUACCCACGGGGUUCGUGUUAUGCUUCUGUUGUGCCGUUGGGAUAAGAAAAUCUCUUUGAAGAAGACUGUCUUUCAUUUAGCAAUUGAGAACAGAGGUAGCCCUGUUGUACUUCUCAGGUAGGCCUACAUAGGUACUUAAUUUUUAUGCAGGUGUGAAAAUAGGACCCAAAAAAGAUCAGCAUAGGGGACAUGUUCAGAAAGUAAGUUCUAAUUCAUGGAGCCUUAUGUAUGUUAUAUGAAUGUCACAAUAUCUGUUGAUAAUAAAAAAAGAUACCAACUUUGUUUUUUUUUCUGGCAACUCCUGUGGCAUGCAGAAUUUCUGGAGCCAAGGAUUGAACGCACACCACAGCAGCAACCCAAACCACAGCAGUGGCAACUCUGGAUGCUUACUGUGCCAUAAGGGAACUCCCUUGAAAUCUUUGAAUUAUGUCUAAUGAAUCUGAUUAAGAGGGCAAAACAUUUAGAACAUUUAAGAUUUCUGUUGAAAAUAUUUCAGAUAGGUUCUGGGUCUAUCAUUUAAUCUCUAGAAAUAGUAAACGUUUUUAGUUUUCCAUUGAGCUAGCAAGCUGAGGUUUCAGGGGAGCUUUGUUUCCAGUUUUUUAUACUUGCUUUAAAAUUAUAUUUAGUUUUCCUUCAUUUAUUUAACAAAAGCCUGCUGGGGGGCAGGGUGUUGCUAGGCAGUGUUGCUGUAAAGGUGAUCACCCAGACAUUGCCCUUACUCUCUUAGAGCUAAUGAUCAAAUUCAGAGACAGUGAAAAAGUAUAUAAUAACCAAGGCAUAGUGCAUUUUGCCUUUGAAUAAGAGCUUUCCCUCUGUAAAUUCAACAUGUUAAUUGUUUUAAGCCUAGAAUUUAUAUAUUCUGGCCCACAUAUUAAUGAAGAGUCUUACUGGGACUUGACUGUGGGCAUAAGAUGUAUCAUUAAAAAAUCAAAGUAUACUUAACUCAUAUGUUAAUUAUGAGAACUGAAAGAAGAAAAACAUUAAAUUUGAAUCUUUACCUUUAAAUAUAAAAAUAUUCCUAUAAAUAUGAAGAAAUUACAAUAGCAACUUAUUUAUGAUACCUUCUUUUAGCCUUUCAGCAGCUUCUAGGUUCUAAGGAAUUUAAUAAUAGAAAUGUAAAGGAGACAUUGAUUUAUGCCCCUAACAUAGUUUAAAAUUGCUGACUUUAAAAAGUAAAAUUUAUUUUAGCAUAUUACAGAGUUCUUAAAUCAAUAUAUUUGAGUCUUUUAGGAAAAAAAAGGUAAACAUAAAUCUUAUGUUAGUUUGCUGCUGCUGUUAUAACAAAUUACCACAAAGUUAGUGGCUGAAAGCAACACCAGUGUAUUACCUUAUAGUUCUAUGGUUGGAAGUCCAGCUCGGGUCUCCCUGGACUAAAAUUAAGGUGUCCACAGGUCUGUGUUCCUUUCUAGAGGGUCUAAGGGAAGAAUCUUUCUUUUUUUUUGGAUAUUCAGAUUAUUGACCAGAUUCAUUUCCUCGCUGUGGUGUGGUACUGAGAUCCCUCUUUCCUUGCUGGCUUUCAGCUGAGAGAUGUGCCCUGCUUCAAGAAGCCUUUCAUGUUCCUUGGUCCAUCUUGCUCCAUCCUCAAAGCCAGCAGUGGUGGCUUUGAGAUCCUCUCAUCCUUUUGAUUUCUUUCUUUUUUUUUUUUUUCUUUUUUUUUGGGUCUUUUUAGGGCCUCACCCAUAGCACAAUAUGGAAGUUCCCAGGCUAGGGGUCUAAUCGGAGCUGUAGCUGCCAGCCUACACCACAGGCUCAUGGCAAUGCCAGAUCCUUAACCCACUGAGCAGGGCCAGAGAUCAAACCUGAGUCCUCAUGGGUACUAGUCAGGUUCGUUACUGCUGAGCCACAAUGGGAACUCCUCAUCCUUCUGAUUUCUCUUACCUUUGCUUCUGUUGUUUCAUCUCUCUAAUUUCAGUCUGUUAAGACUCCAAUUAAGUUGGGCCUCCCUAGAUAAUCCAUAUGUCUCCAUAUCAAGGUCCUUAACCUUAAGCAUAUCUCUCUAGUCCCUCGUGCGGUGGUGAAUGAACAUGUUCCUACAUUCCAGGGAUUAGGGCGUGGACAUUUUUAGGGGCUGUUAUUCUAUCUACCACAGGUCUUAAUUAGGUCCAUGCAGUAUAUCUUAUCAAUACUCUCAGUAUUUUAGGAGAGAAUAAUAAUGUUUAUAAUAAUAGGUAGAUUUUAUGGAUGGGUAAUAUGUUCCAGGGACUAUUCUAAACUCUUUUCCUGCAUUUACUCAUUUAGUCCUCAGAAAUGCCUGAGGAGACAAGCACUAUUAUCAUCCCCACUUACAGAAAGGGAGUCAGGUAUAGGAUAGGGAAGUAACUUGCCUGCUUCUCACAGUUAUUAAGUGGUGGAAUGAGGAUUUGAAUCUACACAGUGUGAUUUCAGGGCCUCUGCAUGCUCUGGAUUGUAACAUAGUACAAAUAAUUGUGAACGUCUGGAUUUACUAAACAUGCUUUAAUGAUAUAGGGACUAUGAAUUCAGGCUCUGGCAUCACAAUGUCCAGAUUCAUAUUCUACCUUUACCAGUCGCUGGAUGACCCUGGGCAAAUUGCUUAAUCUCUCUGGGUCUCAAUUAACAAUAAACUGAAUUCGUAAUAACACUUGAGGGUUAAAUGGGGCACUCUGUAUAUGUAAAGUACUUAGAACACUGCCUCCACAUAAGCCAUAGCUGUAAUUAUUAGUAACAGUUUAACUUUUUAAAACAGUAGUUUAUGGAGUUCCCUAAUGUCCUGUUAAAGAUCCGGCAUUAUCACUGUUUUGGCUCAGGUUCGAUCCCUGGCCCCGUAAGUCCCAUGUGCUGCAGGUGCAGUCAAAACAAAAAACAAACAAAAAUAGUAGUUUAUUAUCAAAAGGAUUUUUUAAUGUAAAAUCAGCCUCUUUGUAAAAUAAAAACUGAAAAUUAAAGUUUUCCUUUUGAAAUACCACAAUACUGUAUCCUUUCCUAGCUCCUAAUUUCUUUCCACUCCAGCCGAGGCUCCCUCUUUCUGGCAGUGUUACUUUUUACAUGUUAAACACUUUGUCCAGACUCCAGAUGCCACAGGUUUACAUCCAGAUUCCUUAGGAAAGCACCAGGGCACAAACUCCAAAUGCCCUCUGCUGACAUUCCUCUGCCUUGUAUUUACAGAGCUGCCAUUAACUAUCUUCUCACGUUUUCCCUUGCUUCUGUUAUUCGUGGAGGGAAACCCAUGGCUUAUGCUGGGUCUCUAGUCAUAACACCUUCUAAUACUGUUCCAAACCUCACCCUCUCUUCUAAUAGUCUUGACCGCCAUUGCCUUAAUUCAAACCCUCAUGCUCUCUGCACUUUAAGAAUUCUAACAAAUUCAUGCCUCCAGCCUUACCACCCUUCAAGCUUGCUUUCCUCCCUGUCCACAAGAAUAUUCUUUCUAAAAUUCUCCACACGUUGCUGUUACUCUCCUUCAAACCUUUCAUUGUCUCCACCCACCCCCGUUCCCCCUCUCCAGUUCCUGCAAAUAUGACUCAUUUUUCUUUUUUUUUUUUUUGAAUUUCUUUUUUUUUUUAAUUUUAUUUUAUUAUUUUUCUUAAUAGCAAUUAGGUGCUUCUACUGUAGCAUUUAAGAUAUGCUUAUUUAUGGAGUUCAUGGUAUAGCAGAAACGAAUCCAACAAGGAACCAUGAGGUUGCAGGUUCAAUUCCUGGCCUUGCUCAGUGGGUUAAGAAUCUGGCAUUGCCAUGAGCUGCGGUGUAGGUCGCAGAUGUGGCUCGGCUCUGAUGUUGCUGUGGCUGUGGUGUAGGCCUGCAGCAACAGCUCCUAUUAGACCCCUAGCCUGGAACCUCCAUAUGCUGUGGGUGCGGCC
rnacentral:lncRNA from 1 species